ACGGAAGGCAGCAGUGAGGAAUAUUGGUCAAUGGACGCAAGUCUGAACCAGCCAUGCCGCGUGAAGGAAUAAGGUCCUAUGGAUCGUAAACUUCUUUUGAGUGGGAGCAAUAAGGUGUACGUGUACAUCGAUGAGAGUACCAUUCGAAUAAGCAUCGGCUAACUCCGUGCCAGCAGCCGCGGUAAUACGGAGGAUGCAAGCGUUAUCCGGAUUUAUUGGGUUUAAAGGGUGCGUAGGCGGCUUGGCAAGUCAGAGGUGAAAUCCCGGGGCUUAUCCCUGGAACUGCCUUUGAUACUGUUGAGCUUGAAUACUGUUGCCGUGGGAAGAAUGAGUAGUGUAGCGGUGAAAUGCAUAGAUAUUACUCAGAACACCGAUUGCGAAGGCAUCUCACGAAGCAGGGAUUGUCGCUGAGGCACGAAAGCGUGGGGCUCAAACAGGAUUAGAUCCCCUGGUA
rnacentral:rRNA from 1 species